rnacentral:lncRNA from 1 species
GAAACAGAGUUUGCAAGUUUCUCAAAUUGCCAAAGGACGACGGAAUUGAACCAGUGAGUUGAUUAUUGGAUAAUCCUAGACCACUGAGGUUUUUCAGAUUCCCCAACACACAAGGAAUUAGGCCAAAGAGUUGAUUAUUGGAUAAAUCCAGAAUGAUGAGGUUUUUCAGAUUCCCCAACACACUAGGAAUUAGGCCAGAGAGUUUAUUAUUGGAUAAUCGCAGACCACUGAGGUUUUUCAGAUUCCCCAACACACUAGGAAUUAGGCCAGAGAGUUGAUUAUUGGAUAAAUCUAGAGUGCUGAGGUUUUUCAGAUUCCCCAACACACUAGGAAUUAGGCCAGAGAGUUGAUUAUUGGAUAAAUCCAGAGUGCUGAGGUUUUCCAGAUUCCCCAACACACUAGGAAUUAGGCCAGAGAGUUGAUUAUUGGAUAAUCCCAGACCACUGAGGUUUUUCAGAUUCUCCAACACACUAGGAAUUAGGCCAGAGAGUUGAUUAUUGGAUAAAUCUAGAGUGCUGAGGUUUUUCAGAUUCCCCAACACACUAGGAAUUAGGCCAGAGAGUUGAUUAUUGGAUAAUCCCAGACCACUGAGGUUUUUCAGAUUCUCCAACACACUAGGAAUUAGGCCAGAGAGUUGAUUAUUGGAUAAAUCUAGAGUGCUGAGGUUUUUCAGAUUCCCCAACACACUAGGAAUUAGGCCAGAGAGUUGAUUCUCAUGAAGAGACAAAAGGGUCAAGUUGUU